UUGGCUCAGGAUGAACGCUGGCGGCGUGCCUAAUACAUGCAAGUCGAACGAAGCUUUCUUUCACCGAAUGCUUGCAUUCACCGAAAGAAGCUUAGUGGCGAACGGGUGAGUAACACGUAGGCAACCUGCCCAAAAGAGGGGGAUAACACUUGGAAACAGGUGCUAAUACCGCAUAACCAUGAGCAUCGCAUGAUGCUUAUGUAAAAGACGGCUUUUGCUGUCACUUUUGGAUGGGCCUGCGGCGUAUUAACUUGUUGGUGGGGUAACGGCCUACCAAGGUGAUGAUACGUAGCCGAACUGAGAGGUUGAUCGGCCACAUUGGGACUGAGACACGGCCCAAACUCCUACGGGAGGCAGCAGUGGGGAAUA
rnacentral:rRNA from 1 species